CGUGUUUUUGGAAAAUCAAAGUGGAAUAGCUCAUGAAGGUUUCAGAGGGUUGUGUAAAUAGCCCCCUUGGUGCAAACAGGUACCAUGUGACAUUGAAAUAAGAAGGCACAUGGUACCAAUUUUGCACAAAUAGGGCGAUUUAAUGUAUUUAUUAUCGUUGUGUGAAUGAAUAAACUGGUUAUACAGGUUUUUGAAGGUGACAUAUGUCCAAUGGUGCGGAAAUCAAGAUUUCCUCGUGCACAGAUUUGUAGGUUUAGUCAUUCGACAGGCAAGAAGGGUAGAGCGAAGAUUUGAUUUAAAUCGUUUUAUUUAUUUUCUCAACCACAUUUAAUUGUGAAAUUCGAUUUAUUUUUGUGUCGUAUUGGCGUUGGUAAUUUAUUAAUUAAACAGUCAGGAUGAGAGGAGAGAUCGCUUCGCCGGCGGGGACAGGGCUGGCACAGUAAAUGGACACACGUAGCGACCACGUGGUAGCGGUCAAGAAGGGGGAGCUGUUAAGAGGUUUACUGACUCUGAAUCACGUGUAAAGCUGGUAAAGGUAGGAAGUUCUAAACUUUAGUAACAUGAUCUAUCACUAAGCAUUUUAGUAUGUGUUUCAAGAUGAAUAUAGGACUAGAAAUACAAUGGGUUCCAAGAGAAUUAAACUCCAUUGCCGAAAGUAUAAGUAAAAUGAGCAAUACAGAUGAAUGGUAAAGCUCACGAGAUUUCUUUGAGUUUUUAAAUGGUAGCUCGGGUCCGAUUUUGAUUUAUCGCUUGGCUAUUUUUAAAAAUGGAAAUACUUAAAGAUAUAAUUCAAAAUUCUUUGAUUUUGAAACAGAAGCAGAUUGCUUUACACAGUAUUGGGGUGCCGAUUUGAAUUGGUUGAUGCCCCUAUUUAUCUCGUAGGAAAAACAAUUUGCACUUUCUAAAAUGCAACGCAUAUGACGUUUUGGUGGUACACAGAUGGCCUAGUGCAGCAUUUUGGCCAUUCUUAUUUGAGGCUGGUAAUGUACAAAUACACUUUGAGAAUGAUAUUAUUGUGUUUGACAAAGGGCAAACUAUUUGUAUGAGUAAUAACCACUCUGUUUCAGUUCAAGACCUUUUUCAAGAAAUGUUCUUGCUAUUCGAAUUUAACUAUACUAUAAGUCGUUUAUAUGUGAAUUGGUGAUAUGAAUGUUUUGACUGUUUUGCUAUACUUAUGGUAUAGUUGGGAUUUUUCACGUGUUUAUAUGUGUAGAAAUGAUUCAAUGGAUGUUGUUUUUGUAUGGCCAUUAAGUAUGUAUAGAAACCAUGUUGGUGUAUGUCCGUUUGCAUCUGGUGCUUACGAAGUCGUGUACAGUACACGAGGAAUGGGAUAUUGCAAAAAAGAAAGCAAAAACAGUACUUGCAAAAAGAAAGCAAGGGUUAAAAAUAAUAGUUUUAAAAGUAUAAUACUUGCAAAAAAGAUAGCAAGGGUAAUAUUUAUUUCAAAUUGGAAAAUACUUGCAAAAAAGAAAGCAAGGGAAACGGUUUUGUUACAGAAAGUAAAUUUAAAAUGUUGGUGUGUGUGUUUCGUGUCUGUCUACCUCUGGGGUAGACGCGAUUGUGUGUGGCAUUUCGUGGGCUCAUUGUUGGAUCGUGUGGUCGUUGUAAUUCUGGUCUGGUUGUGUUUUCUGAUGAUGGAUUGAAAAGGUCCAAUUCUGGGCCGCUGGUUCGGAGGUGCUUAGUGACUAAAGCGGAUGUGUAGAGGCUUUGAUUCUUUGAUUUGAGAUUUGUAACGGUGUGUUUGGUGCGUUUUUUUUUUUGGGGGGGGGGUGGCGGUUUGGGGACUUUGAAUUGAUAGGAUGCGAUACAAGAUUUUUUGAGGAUUGUGCUAUAAUUAUUAUUUUCAAUAGUUAAACGGUUCAAUUGUGCAAGGGCAAACAGGUAUUGACAUUUUGUAAAACAAAUGCAGUUUUAUGCCCUGUCUUCUACUUGAAAAAAUGUAUCUUGGCAACAACUAUUCUAGAUAUUGCAAUAUAUGUUUUGUUUAGAAACAUAACAAAUUGUAAGAAAAUUAAUAAAUACAUUUUUGUUGGCUCAAAGCAGAUUAGUUACAGUAGACAAUUAGAUAUUUUGCACCACAUCUUUCGUGAAAUUUGACUUAAACCUAAUGUUCACGGGUUGCAUUCAUUUCGGUCAGGGGAAGCAACUGCUGUUGCAAAUAGCGGUGUAUCUGAUAGUGUUAAAAAAGCAUGGGCAGUGGAAGACUGCUGGCGCUUAGGAUGGCUACGUGAGAGAUUCGGAUGAAACACAAACAAUUGUUUCUUCUCGUUUGGAUUUGUAAAUAUACAUGGUACUUGGUGUUGUGUGUUGUUAGUUGUGCGUUGUUUUUUUGCCCCGUUCUUUUUCUGUCGAUAAAAUACCCUGCUUGUCAUGACACCUAAACAAAUGUGUUUGUUUUUAUUCUAAAUGGUUAGAUGAUAAAUAAUUUGUUUGUCAUAAAAUGUAAUGGAAUAUAAAACAUAAAUGUAUUUAUUACCGUUGUGUGAAUGAAUAAACUGGUUAUACAGGUUUUUGAAGGUGAUAUAUGUCCAAUGGUGCGGAAAUCAAGAUUUCCUCGUGCACAGAUUCGUAUGUUUAGUCAUUCGACAGGCAAGCACGGUAGAGCGAAGACUUGAUUUAAAUCGUUUUAUUUAUUUAUGCUCUGUUUGUGUGUUGAUGUUAAUAUUAUGUUUUAUGUGUUUCAGUGAGUUUUAUGAGAGCAGACGAAUGACUGACUUGAGAUAGAAAGGGGCAUUGAUUCCGGACAUUUUACCAUUAGAUUUACAUGGUUUUCUAAAAAGAAUACUUAAUGUUUACGAUAUAGUUACAGCUGAUUGUUUGUAGAUUUCUCUAAAAUUAGAGGUUUCAGGAGGUGAUGAAGGCACCUAGACACCGGUUUUGAGCCAUGGGUCCUCAUACGUCCCCCUGCCAUUAAAAGAAAAAUGAAAAAUGAGCAGUAGGGUUGCGUAUCCCGCUCGCGGUUACACCUGAAUCGUUCGUUACCACCGAUUAUUGUUUGGGGUGUACGUGAAGUCAUGUGGACUUCUCUUACUUGAUGGUAAUGAAUAAAUCUCGUUAUUAUCGCAGCUGCUUUUAUCAAAACUAAUGCUUCACUUUAUGUACUUUUCGCAAAUAGGCGUUGUGGAUGGGCAAAGGGGGCGUCCUCGGUGCGCUUUGGGCAUCGGCGGCGAACGGGCGGUUGUUAGGGCGUGGCGUCCUUGGUUGGGCUUGUGAUUUUGAAUUGUGUAGUUAAAUUGUUCAAUUGUAUGAUUUUUAGCUCAUCUAUUUUUUGAAAAAAAAAUUAUGAGCUAUUGUUAUCACCUUGGCGUCGGCGUCGGCGUCGGCGUUGGCGUUGGCGUUGGCGUCGGCGUCCUGUUAAGUUUUGCGUUUAGGUCCACUUUUCUCAGAAAGUAUCAAUGCUAUUGCAUUCAAACUUGGUACACUUACAUACUAUCAUGAGGGGACUGGGCAGGCAAAGUUAGAUAACUCUGGCGUGCAUUUUGACAGAAUUAUGUGCCCUUUUUAUACUUAGAAAAUUGAAAAUUUUGGUUAAGUUUUGCGUUUAGGUCCACUUUUCUCAGUAAGUAUCAAUGCUAUUGCAUUCAAACUUGGUACACUUACUUACUAUCAUGAGGGGACUGGGCAGGCAAAGUUAGAUAACUCUGGCGUGCAUUUUGACAGAAUUAUGUGCCCUUUUUAUACUUAGAAAAUUGAAAAUUUUGGUUAAGUUUUGUGUUUAGGUCCAUUUUAUUAGCUCAUCUAUUUUUUGAAAAAAAAUUAUGAGCUAUUGUCAUCACCUUGGCGUCGGCGUCGGCGUCGGCGUCGGCGUCGGCGUUGGCGUUGGCGUUGGCGUCGGCGUCCGGUUAAGUUUUGCGUUUAGGUCCACUUUUCUCAGAAAGUAUCAAUGCUAUUGCAUUCAAACUUGGUACACUUACUUACUAUCAUGAGGGGACUGGGCAGGCAAAGUUAGAUAACUCUGGCGUGCAUUUUGACUGAAUUAUGUGCCCUUUUUAUACUUAGAAAAUUGAAAAUUUUGGUUAAGUUUUGCGUUUAGGUCCACUUUUUUCAGAAAGUAUCAAUGCUAUUGCAUUCAAACUUGGUACACUUACUUACUAUCAUGAGGGGACUGGGCACGCAAAGUUAGAUAACUCUGGCAUGCAUUUUGACAGAAUUAUGUGCCCUUUUUAUACUUAGAAAAUUGAAAAUUUUGGUUAAGUUUUGUGUUAAGGUCCAUUUUAUUCCUUAAGUAUCAAAGCUAUUGCUUUCAUACUUGCAACACUUACUUACUACCGUAAGGGGACUGUGCAGGCAAAGUUAUGUAACUCUGACUGGCAUUUGGACGGAUUAUGGGCCCUUUAUACUUAGAAAAUUGAAAGUUUGGUUAAGUUUUGUGUUUUGGUCCACUUUACCCCUAAAGUAUCAUAGAUAUUGCUAUCAUACUUGGAACACUCGCAAACUAUCAUAAGGGUACAGUAAAAGGACAAGUUGCAUAACUCUGGAUGUCAUUUUUACGGAAUUAUGGCCCUUUUUUGAAUUAGUAACUUUGAAUAUAUGGUUAAAUUUUGUGUUUCGAUCCACUUUACUUCUUAAGUAUCAAGGCUAUUGCUUUCAAACUUCAAAUACUUUCAUGCUAUCAUGAGGUUACUGUACCUGGCAAGUUGAAUUUUACCUUGACCUUUGAAUGACCUUGACUCUCAAGGUCAAAUUAUUAAA